rnacentral:rRNA from 1 species
CGCGUAGGCGGGUUUGUAAGUCAGAAGUGAAAUCUGUCGGCUUAACCGGCAAACGGCUUCUGAUACUGCAAGCCUUGAGUAGGAUAGAGGAAAGCGGAAUUCCUGGUGUAGCGGUGAAAUGUGUAGAUAUCAGGAAGAACACCGGUGGCGAAGGCGGCUUUCUGGGUCUUUACUGACGCUGAAGCGCGAAAGCGUGGGGAGCGAACA